GCCAGGUGUGGUGGCGGGAGCCUGUAAUCCUAGCUACUUGGGAGGCUGAGGCAGGAGAAUCGCUUGAACCUGGGAAUCGGAGGUUGAAGUGAGCAAAGAUCGUGCCACUGCACUCCAGCCUGCACUCAAUUUUUCUUGAGAUGGAGAACGAGACUCCAUCUCAAGAAAAAUAAUAAUAAUUUUUUUUUUGAGAUGUAGUCUCGCUCUGUUGCCCAGGCUGGAAUGCAGUGGCACAAUCUCGGCUCACUGCAACCUCCACCUCCCGGGUUCAUGCCAUUCUCCUGCCUCAG
ensembl:misc_RNA Metazoa_SRP Metazoan signal recognition particle RNA